CCCUUUUUGGCCCCUUAUUCCUAAAAUGUUGGGACCAAAACUCCCAAAAUCAAUACCAACCUUCCUUUUGUGGUCAUAAACCUUGUGUUAAAAUUUCAUAGAUUUCCAUUCACUUUUACUAAAGUUAGAGUGCGAAAACUAAAAGUAUUCGGACGCAGGACGACGACGACGACGACGCCGACGCCAACGUGAUAGCAAUAUGCGACGA
rnacentral:lncRNA from 1 species